rnacentral:rRNA from 1 species
AUUGAACGCUGGCGGCAGGCUUAACACAUGCAAGUCGAGCGGAGCGAGGGUGCUUGCACCUUAGCUUAGCGGCGGACGGGUGAGUAAUGCUUAGGAAUCUGCCUAUUAGUGGGGGACAACAUUCCGAAAGGAAUGCUAAUACCGCAUACGCCCUACGGGGGAAAGCAGGGGAUCUUCGGACCUCGCGCUAAUAGAUGAGCCUAAGUCGGAUUAGCUAGUUGGUGGGGUAAAGGCCUACCAAGGCGACGAUCUGUAGCGGGUCUGAGAGGAUGAUCCGCCACACUGGGACUGAGACACGGCCCAGACUCCUACGGGAGGCAGCAGUGGGGAAUAUUGGACAAUGGGCGGAAGCCUGAUCCAGCCAUGCCGCGUGUGUGAAGAAGGCCUUUUGGUUGUAAAGCACUUUAAGCGAGGAGGAGGCUACUUAGAUUAAUACUCUGGGAUAGUGGACGUUACUCGCAGAAUAAGCACCGGCUAACUCUGUGCCAGCAGCCGCAGUAACAC